GGGCGGAGCCGGACGCAUCGGCACACGCAGCACCAGCGUGCCGUCCCGGGUUCGAAUCCCGGGUCGCCCUCCA
rnacentral:tRNA from 1 species